UUAAAAAGCUCGUCGUUGGAUUUCUGUUGAGGUCGAACAGUGCCGCCCUAUGGGUGCGCAACUGGCUCGGCUUCGGCAUCUUCUUGGAGAGCGCAUCUGCACUUAACUGUGUGGAUCGUACUUCAAGUCAGUUACUUUGAGGAAUUGUGAGUGUUUCAAGCAGGCUUACGCCGUCGAAUCCGUUAGCAUGGAAUAAUAGAAUAGGACCUCGGUUCUAUUUUGUUGGUUUUGAGAGCUGGGGCAGCGAUUGAUAGGGACGGAUGGGGGCGUCCGAACUUUACUGUCAGAGGUGAAAUUCUUAGAUCGGUCAAAGGCGAACUACUGCGAACGCAUUCGCCAAGAAUGUUUUCUUUAAUCAAGAACGAAAGUUAGGGGAUCGAAGACGAUCAGAUACCGUCCUAGUCUUAACCAUAAACGUUACUGACUAGAGAUUGGAGGUUGUGAUUCACAAACUCCAUCAGCACCUCUAUGUGUAAACAAAGUCUUUGAGUUCUGGGGGGAGUAUGGUCGCAAGACUGAGACUUAAAGGAAUUGACGGAAGGGCACCACCAGGAGUGGAACCUGCGGCUUAAUUUGACUCAACACGGGGAAACUUACCAGAUCAAGACAUAGUAAGGAUUGACAGAUUGAGAGUUCUCUCUCGAUUCUAUGGGUGGUGGUGCAUGGCCGUUCUUAGUUGGUGGAGUGAUUUGUCUGGUUAAUUUCGUUAACGAACGAGACCUUAACUUGUUGAAUAGUGAAUCGUAACCUCGGUUACGUUGGAAUCUUCUUAGAGGGACUUUGUGUGAUCAACGCAAGGAAGUUUGAGGCGAUAACAGGUCUGUGAUGCCCUUAGAUGUUCUGGGAUGCACGCGCGUUACACUGAUUCGUUCAACGAGUUUAUGACCUUGCCUGAUGAGGUGGGGGAAUCUUUUCAAAUCGCAUCGUGAUGGGGAUAGAGUAUUGUAACUGCUAGUCUUCAACGAGGAAUUCCUAGUAAGUACGUGUC
rnacentral:rRNA from 1 species